AGCAUUAUACCGUGAAACUGCGAAUGGCUCAUUAAAUCAGUUAUCGUUUAUUUGAUAGUACCUUACUACUUGGAUACCCGUGGUAAUUCUAGAGCUAAUACAUGCUGAAAACCCCGACUUCGGAAGGGGUGUAUUUAUUAGAUAAAAAACCAAUGCCCUUCGGGGCUACUUGGUGAUUCAUAAUAACUUAACGGAUCGCAUGGCCUUGCGCCGGCGACGGUUCAUUCAAAUUUCUGCCCUAUCAACUUUCGAUGGUAAGGUAUUGGCUUACCAUGGUUUCAACGGGUAACGGGGAAUAAGGGUUCUAUUCCGGAGAGGGAGCCUGAGAAACGGCUACCACAUCCAAGGAAGGCAGCAGGCGCGCAAAUUACCCAAUCCCGACACGGGGAGGUAGUGACAAUAAAUACUGAUACAGGGCUCUUUUGGGUCUUGUAAUUGGAAUGAGUACAAUUUAAAUCCCUUAACGAGGAACAAUUGGAGGGCAAGUCUGGUGCCAGCAGCCGCGGUAAUUCCAGCUCCAAUAGCGUAUAUUAAAGUUGUUGCAGUUAAAAAGCUCGUAGUUGAACCUUGGGCCUGGCUGGCCGGUCCGCCUCACCGCGUGUACUGGUCCGGCCGGGCCUUUCCUUCUGGAGAGCCCCAUGCCCUUCACUGGGUGUGCGGGGGAACCAGGACUUUUACUUUGAAAAAAUUAGAGUGUUCAAAGCAGGCCUUUGCUCGAAUACGUUAGCAUGGAAUAAUAGAAUAGGACGUGUGGUUCUAUUUUGUUGGUUUCUAGAACCGCCGUAAUGAUUAAUAGGGAUAGUCGGGGGCAUCAGUAUUCAAUUGUCAGAGGUGAAAUUCUUAGAUUUAUUGAAGACUAACUACUGCGAAAGCAUUUGCCAAGGGAUGUUUUCAUUAAUCAGUG
rnacentral:rRNA from 1 species